rnacentral:rRNA from 1 species
CAGCCGCCACGGUAACACGGAGGGUGCAAGCGUUAUCCGGAUUUAUUGGGUUUAAAGGGUCCGUAGGCGGAUCUGUAAGUCAGUGGUGAAAUCUCACAGCUUAACUGUGAAACUGCCAUUGAUACUGCAGGUCUUGAGUAAAUUUGAAGUGGCUGGAAUAAGUAGUGUAGCGGUGAAAUGCAUAGAUAUUACUUAGAACACCAAUUGCGAAGGCAGGUCACUAAGAUUUAACUGACGCUGAUGGACGAAAGCGUGGGGAGCGAACAGGAUUAGAUACCCGCGUAGUCCCUGUCUCUUAUAC